UACGGAGGGUGCAAGCGUUAUCCGGAAUCAUUGGGUUUAAAGGGUCCGCAGGCGGAUUUAUAAGUCAGUGGUGAAAGCCUACAGCUUAACUGUAGAACUGCCAUUGAUACUGUAGGUCUUGAAUUUGGUCGAAGUGGGCGGAAUAUGACAUGUAGCGGUGAAAUGCAUAGAUAUGUCAUAGAACACCGAUAGCGAAGGCAGCUCACUAGGUCACAAUUGACGCUCAUGGACGAAAGCGUGGGGAUCAAACAGG
rnacentral:rRNA from 1 species